rnacentral:rRNA from 1 species
AUUGAACGCUGGCGGCAGGCUUAACACAUGCCAGUCGAGCGGGGAAAGGUAGCUUGCUACCUGACCUAGCGGCGGACGGGUGAGUAAUGCUUAGGAAUCUGCCUAUUAGUGGGGGACAACAUCUCGAAAGGGAUGCUAAUACCGCAUACGUCCUACGGGAGAAAGCAGGGGACCUUCGGGCCUUGCGCUAAUAGAUGAGCCUAAGUCGGAUUAGCUAGUUGGUGGGGUAAAGGCCUACCAAGGCGACGAUCUGUAGCGGGUCUGAGGGGAUGAUCCGCCACACUGGGACUGAGACACGGCCCAGACUCCUACGGGAGGCAGCAGUGGGGAAUAUUGGACAAUGGGGGGAACCCUGAUCCAGCCAUGCCGCGUGUGUGAAGAAGGCCUUUUGGUUGUAAAGCACUUUAAGCGAGGAGGAGGCUACCGAGAUUAAUACUCUUGGAUAGUGGACGUUACUCGCAGAAUAAGCACCGGCUAACUCUGUG